UGGAACAGUGCCUUCUGGGUUGUCCGGUCACUCCGGAGUACAAUCCUGUUUGCGGUUCCAACGGAGUCACUUACUCCAAUCCUGGGAGAUUGCUUUGUGCUCAAGCUUGCGGCGAAAAUGUCAACCUACUCAGAACAUCGCCCUGUCCGCGGACAUAGAAUAUAAUGAUUAAUGUCAUAUUAUGUUAAGAAAUAAAAUAAGUUCCGAAUUUC